rnacentral:rRNA from 1 species
UACAGAGGGUCCCAAAGCGUUUGUUCCGGAUUCAUUGGGCGUAAAAGGGUGCGUAGGCGGCGCGGUAAGUCGGGUGUGAAAUCUCGGGGCUUAACUCCGAAACUGCAUUCGAUACUGCCGUGCUUGAGGACUUGGAGAGGAGACUGGAAUUUACGGUGUAGCGGUGAAAUGCGUAGAUAUCGUAAGGAAGACCAGUGGCGAAGGCGGGUCUCUGGACAGUUCCUGACGCUGAGGCACGAAGGCCAGGGAGCAAACGGG